rnacentral:lncRNA from 1 species
CAAACUAUAAGUUCAUACAAAUGGCUAAAUGAGUCGGGUGUUUUCACAAACAUUAUGACCUUACAUUUUUUUUCGGAAAGCAUUCCCUAUGUCUAGCCAUUAUGUCCAAUGGUGUCAUUUUGACGUUUCUGCACAGUGGCGUCUUUUAUACAAAUACACACAGUUACGAACUGUUUAGGCAGUUAAAAUGAUGCCGGGAAAUGUUCAUUCCAAAAUGGUCUUCUGAAUCAAAAUAACACUCAGAUUAGAAAAACAUACACACACAAGGAAUAAACCAUUUACAGACACACGGGAAAAGGGGGGAUGGGCCGAGGGAUAAUUUCUUAUGGACAAAAGUUUUCACGCAAAUCUAAAACACCUUUAUAGAUAAGAAACCGAUUAGAAUCCGAGUAACAAUGGUCUUAUAAAUUUUAAACAACUAUAUAAAUACGUAUUUGUAAAAUGAAACCAUCAGUGCUAAAAAGAUAGAGAAAUAGUCGGAAAACUCAGACACAGACACAUACAGAU